rfam:Trichosporon oleaginosus strain IBC0246 unplaced genomic scaffold CC85scaffold_7, whole genome shotgun sequence.
GGGCGUGUAGCUCAGUUGGUAGAGCGUGUCAUUAGCAUUAUAAGGUGUUCUUGACAAGGUCUUUGGUUCGAUUCCUAACUCGUCCA